AUAUGAUGGUGUAGACACUUUCUUAGAAAAUCAUUAUAUCUCUCCCAUGCAUCAUAGAGCUGUUUUCCAGGGAUUUUGGAAAAUGCCAUGAUUUCUCUUCUCAGUUG